rnacentral:tRNA from 4 species
GAUUUUGUAGCUCAGCUGGAUAGAGCGUCUGCCUUCUAAGCAGAUGGUCGAAGGUUCGAAUCCUUCCAAAAUCA